rnacentral:misc_RNA from 1 species
GAUGAAGAACGCAGCGAAAUGCGAUAAGUAAUGUGAAUUGCAGAAUUCAGUGAAUCAUCGAAUCUUUGAACGCACAUUGCGCCCGCCAGUAUUCUGGCGGGCAUGCCUGUUCGAGCGUCAUUUCAACCAUCAAGCCCUGCUUGCGUUGGGGUCCUGCGGCUGCCCGCAGGCCCUGAAAACCAGUGGCGGGCUCGCUAGUCACACCGAGCGCAGUAAUACAUCUCGCUUUGGGCGUGCGGCGGGUUCUUGCCGUUAAACACCCCCUUUUUACCAAGGUUGACCUCGGAUCAGGUAGGAAUACCCACUGAACUUAAGCAUAUCAAUAAGCGGAGGA